UACGUAGGGUGCGAGCGUUAAUCGGAAUUACUGGGCGUAAAGCGUGCGCAGGCGGUUGUGUAAGACAGGUGUGAAAUCCCCGGGCUCAACCUGGGAACUGCAUUCGAUACUGCUCGACUAGAGUAUGGAAGAGGGAAGGGGAAUUCCGGGUGUAGCGGUGAAAUGCGUAGAUAUCCGGAGGAACACCAGUGGCGAAGGCGCCUUCCUGGGCCAAUACUGACGCUGAGGCGCGAAAGCGUGGGGAGCAAACAGGAUUAGAAACCCGAGUAGU
rnacentral:rRNA from 1 species